AUAAACUGAUGAGUAAAGAUUGUGCGCCAUACUAGCUGCUGAACUUGAUCGACAACGAAAUCUGGGUUGUUUUGUGAACAAUCAAAGAUUCUAUAACUCACUAUGAUGUCAAAGAAACUCCUUCUAGUAUUUGCGGUUGUGAUGCUGGCCGUGUCUUUGAAUGAAUCAGCGCCAAGAGUUAAGAACUCGAGCCUCGAUCGACUCUUGAGGCUUUUGAAAGCCAGGAAGCAGUAUGACGAUGACGACUGCGGCCCAACAAUAUGUGAUGGUCAAGGUGRCUGCUGUGAUGAUUGGAUUUGUUCAAAUGGGCAAUGUGAGCCAUAAAAAGGCGAAACAAGAAAUAAUAAUGGAUUUCGUGUAUAGAGAUAGGUUAAAAGCACGAGAAAUAAAUCUUAAGCUAGUCACUUUCACUUUUUUUACAACUGUAAAUCCCUGAUUGGUCGAGAGGCGUAUUAAUAAUCCAMGUCGCGCAUGCGUAAAGUAGAAAUAGUCUCUGGGGACAAGAUUGGAAUCUAGCAUGUAGAUCAGAUAGGAAGAUGCAUUUGAACGAGAUCACACUGGUACCACAUACGAAUCGAUAGUAAGAGGAAGAUUAUAUAUUGUCAUAAGCAUGCUAAUUUUAUAUUUCAUGUAGAAUUAUUCACACUUGACUUGGAAAUAGAAAAUGUUCGCGACAGAUACAUAGAUUGGCAAAAAGGUAAAACUAAAGUCUGCCAAGCCUAUGGUUACUAUAUGAAUAGUCUAUUGAUAUAGCUAAUUCACUAAUUCACAAUAUUCGAUUGAUUUUUAAAUAAAAAAAAAUGAUU